AAAUUGAAGAGUUUGAUCAUGGCUCAGAUUGAACGCUGGCGGCAGGCCUAACACAUGCAAGUCGAACGGUAACAGGAAGAAGCUUGCUUCUUUGCUGACGAGUGGCGGACGGGUGAGUAAUGUCUGGGAAACUGCCUGAUGGAGGGGGAUAACUACUGGAAACGGUAGCUAAUACCGCAUAACGUCGCAAGACCAAAGAGGGGGACCUUCGGGCCUCUUGCCAUCGGAUGUGCCCAGAUGGGAUUAGCUAGUAGGUG
rnacentral:rRNA from 2 species